UGAAAUCUUGGCCGUGUGGCCGCCGUGAAUGAAGAGCAGUUCUGGCGGUCCAUCUUCAGCAUCUUCCGCUGCUUGUUCUUCACCUGAAAUUUUGAUUACCACCAACAACUACCUACCAAUUUUACUUAGAUCCCAUACGUGGAGUCGCCGAUCCGUACCAGAGGACGCGAGAAUUGUUUCAUUAUGAGGCGACCAUUGAACCUGGAAAAUUUCAUCUUUAUGUGACUCGAAGCUGUGUAGUUUUAGUUUGAGAUUCCGCAGAUCCCAAAGAGCCACAGUUUUAUCCGCGGAUCCUGUGAAACAUAAAUAAAUCACCCAUUGCGAUUCA